rnacentral:rRNA from 1 species
CAAUAGCGUAUAUUAAAGUUGUUGCAGUUAAAAAGCUCGUAGUUGGAUUUCUGGUGGGAGCGAUCGGUCUGGCGCUUAGCGCGAGUACUUGCAUCGUCUCCGGCCAUCCUUGGGGAGAGUCUGUCUGGCAUUAGGUUGUCGGGCAGAGGAUCCUCAUCGUUUACUGUGAAAAAAUUAGAGUGUUCAAAGCAGGCUUAUGCCGUUGAAUAUAUUAGCAUGGAAUAAUAAGAUAGGACUUUGGUACUAUUUUGUUGGUUUGCGCACCAAAGUAAUGAUUAAUAGGGACAGUUGGGGGUAUUCAUAUUCCGUUGUCAGAGGUGAAAUUCUUGGAUUUACGGAAGACGAACUACUGCGAAAGCAUUUACCAAGGAUGUUUUCAUUAA